rnacentral:rRNA from 1 species
CCUACGGGAGGCUGCAGUGAGGAAUAUUGGUCAAUGGACGCAAGUCUGAACCAGCCAUGCCGCGUGCAGGAAGACGGCCCUAUGAGUUGUAAACUGCUUUUGUACGAGGGUAAACUCAGAUACGCGUAUCUUUCUGAAAGUACCUUACGAAUAAGGAUCGGCUAACUCCGUGCCAGCAGCCGCGGUAAUACGGAGGAUUCAAGCGUUAUCCGGAUUUAUUGGGUUUAAAGGGUGCGUAGGCGGUCGGUUAAGUUAGCGGGGAAAACCCGGGGCUCAACUUCGGAAGUGCCUCUGAAACUGUUAGGCUAGAGGGUAGUUGCGGUAGGCGGAAUGUGUGGUGUAGCGGUGAAAUGCUUAGAGAUCAUGCAGAACACCGAUUGCGAAGGCAGCUUACCAGGCUACAUCUGACGUUGAGGCACGAAAGCGUGGGGAGCAAACAGGAUUAGAUACCCUAGUAGUC